ACGGAAGGCAGCAGUGGGGAAUAUUGCACAAUGGGGGGAACCCUGAUGCAGCGACGCCGCGUGAGUGAAGAGGUAUUUCGGUAUGUAAAGCUCUAUCAGCAGGGAAGAAGAUGACGGUACCUGACUAAGAAGCACCGGCUAAAUACGUGCCAGCAGCCGCGGUAAUACGUAUGGUGCAAGCGUUAUCCGGAUUUACUGGGUGUAAAGGGAGCGCAGGUGGCGAUGCAAGCCAGAAGUGAAAGCCCGGGGCUCAACCCCGGUACUGCUUUUGGAACUGUGUUGCUGGAGUGCAGGAGGGGCAGGCGGAAUUCCUGGUGUAGCGGUGAAAUGCGUAGAUAUCAGGAGGAACACCGGUGGCGAAGGCGGCCUGCUGGACUGUAACUGACACUGAGGCUCGAAAGCGUGGGGAGCAAACAGGAUUAGAUACCCUGGUA
rnacentral:rRNA from 1 species